AAAAUGCAUGCGGUCAAUAAUGAUGGAAGUAUAAUCUCCAAUGCUGAUAUAAAUUUUUACAUCGAUGAGGACAUAAUACAUGUAGUGGAUUCUAAAUCAGAGAAGCGGUAUGGUGAUUACUUCUUGCGCCAAAUUUUGACAUUUGAGGAUAUCAUCUCUAAACUUGAUAGAGUAAAGUUCGACUAAGCCAUUGCUCAUAUCUGGGGUGAUUUACU